UUUAUCCACGCUGUUUAACAUUUUCUCUUGACUUCUUUAUUUAAGUUUAUCCACGCUGAUUAACAGCUUCUCUUGCCUUCUAUGUUUAAGUUUAUCCACGCUGUUUAACAGCUUCUCUUGACUUCUAUAUUUAAGUUCAUCUACGCUGUUUAACAGCUUCUCUUGACUUCUAUCUUUAAGUUUAUCCACGCUGUUUAGCAGCUUCUCUGGACUUCUAUAUUUAAGCUUAUUCACGCUGUUUAACAGCUUGAUUUAAAUCAAAAUUGAAAUCGGAAGUCGUCUUCCUUGUAUUGAUAUUAUCGCCUACCACUGAAAAUGAAUAUUUCCACAACUAUGAACUCCGUUAUAAAUUAAGACAACGUCUCUAUAGUAUCCUCCGGAAAAUUGAAUUUUUCUCAAUUUUGAACUUAUGUGUUACUUAUACUCAACCAAGGGACUUCCCUACCGAAUACUUUUUCCAUUAAAAAACGACAAUAACAUGUGUUUUAAAGUUUAAGCGCUGUAAUAAAUUAGAAUAUUUUAAAUUAUCUUUAUAUUGAAGAGAGGGGUGGAUGCACAUUAAAUCACGAAUCGACUGUUGUAAAAUUUAAAUUUAAAUUAUCAUGUCCUAAUUAAUAUCUAAUUUUACAAGAUAUUUAUAUAAAUGUUGGGGACUGUCGUAAAAAAAAUUAUCAUAUAUUUUCUGAUUAUAUUUCGUAUAUUCACAAUAUGCUUUGUAUGUAAGUAUCCUUUUAUAAGAUCUAGGGUCUCCCAUUCUAAAGAUUGAACUUAAAUUAACAACCUUGAAUUUGCUGGAGAACUAUUAGUGGAUUUCUGCUGUAAAGAUGAAAAUGAAAAUAAAAGCGAGAAUGUUUUUAUUUCUAUAAUUUAUCAUGAGAAGUUGGUUGGAUGAGACUUCAACGACGUCUCUGUACGGAUACUUUAGUCUUCGCUCUUGGAUUUGUUGCCUGCAGGCAGCAGCAUUAGAUUUAUUUAUUUGAUAAAUCAUUUAAUAUAAAAUGAACUAUGUUUUAAAUAAAAAAGUUGUACGUCA